AGGGAUUGUAGAGUCUGGUAGAGAAACUCGGGAGUUGCUGGAAUAGUCCUUAAUUAUAGUUGGGAUUAUCUAGAGGGAAGUGUACAUAGAGGUACUAUAAAAACAACAGGUAGUGAUUAUUGAUAUUGUGGCAUGCACCAUGCUAAGUGCUUUAUUUACACCAUCUAAUUUAAUCCUCUAACAGCUUAAUGAGUAGUUGUUCUUACUGAUGACAUUUUACAGCUGAGAACCAAAGAGGUCCACUGAGGAAUUUUGAGGAGCAACAGCUUUUCCGAGGAAGAGAAGAGUUACAAAUGACACUAUUUCGGUAACAUCGAUUCAAAAGAAAUACAAUUCUAUACUGAGUCCUCUCAUAUCCCUUUUACCCUUCAAGCAUAACCUUGAUUUUUUGAAGAGCACAAAAAUAUCUUUGUUGGGGUCUCUCCUAUUGAAGACUCCAGUGUUCAACUUGUGUACACCAUAUUGCACUGUCGUCGAUGUUCACCAGAUUGUUUUCCUUGAUCCAUGUCAUGUUGGCAGUCAGUAGAAAGCAGGGUGGCAUGAGAGCUGUGGUAUUGAUGUUUAUAUGUAUAUUUUACAUGGUCUCCCAAACUCUAAAUGAAGAAAUCCUAGUAAACUUAUUUAUGAUUGGAAAUGGUGGUGUAGACUAAUAACACUAAGAUUAGAGUGGAGGUAUAGUUUAACUGUACUGUAUUUUAAUCAUAUCAUGGCUAUUAGCUCUUCUCCAGUCCCUUCAGUAUUUUGUUAGGGUAUUAUGAACACACUAAAAAUUAUACACCCCCAACUCCUAACAUAGUUUUAAAUUUUUAUUAUAGUUUUUCCUGAGCCUAACUGCCACAUGGUUGAUUAGUAAAAUAGUGACUGAGAAAAGUAAGGUGAAUGGAGGACUUUCAUACUAAAAUAUUUUAGACAUAAAACCACAGAAACUAAUUCAUAUUCUCUCUCCCUCUCUCUCCUCUCUCUCUCUCUCAUCACUGUUUGAAUGAACCUAGAAUUACAAGGUUUCUGAAGAAAACCUUGGUUUGCCUCUGAGUGACAUUGGUUAGGCAACUGAAAUUUCAUAAGAGAAUAUGAAGAGAGGCUUAACUUCCACUGGCUCUGCUUUUACCUGGCAGCCUAAAUUAGCUGCGUUGUAGGUACUGUAGGUACUUAACAGGGAGUAUAAUGCCAAAUUCCCAACCUCUCAAUAUUUUUCAAAAGCUUGGCAGAGAAAAGCAAUGCUUUUGGAGGAUUGCCUGAGAGAAAAGCAGUAAAUUCACUUCUGUGAAUCAGUGAUUCUCAAUGGAAUGUGGGAGGUAAGGGAAGAAUGGAGGAGGAGGAAAGGGGGGAGGCCUGAUGUCCUCUUCACAGGAGGGCCUGGCUCCCGAGGUGAGGACUAGGUUUUGGUGAUUCACUUUUCCAGACAUCCCCUGCUCCCCUCAGAUGCUGAUGUGGAUAAAAUUUGAGAACUUCGCAAGUGUUGCUAAAGUAGAGGUGACAAACUGGAGACUCUUGGUCAAACCCAGCUUGUAGACAGGUUCUCUCUGCCUAGUAUAUACAGCACACACACACACACACACACACACACACACACAUUUUAACAAGGAAUACAGAAUUUCCAUAAAAUCCAGAUUUCUCUGGAAACAAUAAAAAAAUCUGGCAAAGCUAGGCACAUGUCCAAGCAUGGCAACAAAUGCCUAGAACUGGGAAACAGUUCCUUCUUUGAUCACUGUCCUUAUUACUCCCUUUUUGCUUACACCUGGCUCACAUCACUGACUCAGGUUACUUCUCUGGUCCCUGUAGGCACUGGAGUUUACAACCUUUGAAUAAAAGCCUGUUUGUAGAUUAUAGCAAAAGAACAAAGAACCGGGUAAUUGGGCCACAUCAUUUGACUUUCUAGAAGUGAUUUUCUGGAUUUGUAUUUUAGCCUGAUUCCAUAGGCCUUGUGACACAAGGAAAUGGCCCUAUAGAACUCAUUCCCGAGUUUACUUUAAGAAUAUUUGUUCAUUAUUUUGGGAAUUUUAUAAAUAUAGUGGUUAAAAGGAUGGACUCUGGAGCCAGACUGCCUGGAAUCCAAUUCUACCUCCUGCAUUUCCCAGCUGAAAACCUUUGGCCUGGCAUUUGAUAUUGCUUUGAUUCAAUUUCCUCUUCUGUAAAAUGGGCAUAACACUAGUACCACUUGUUUAGGAUUUUUGUUAAGAUCAAAUAUAUCAAUUUAUGAAAAGUGUUUAGGACAUUGCUUAACAUAGACAAAUAUUUGAGGUGAUACUAUUACUAAUAUUAUUACCUCCUGUUCCAGAAAUAGAAAUAGUUGUACUUGUUAUUAUGUUUUUCUAUUUUAUAGAGAAUCUUAA